GACGAACGCUGGCGGCGUGCUUAACACAUGCAAGUCGAACGAUGAACCCGGAGCUUGCUCCGGCGGAUUAGUGGCGAACGGGUGAGUAACACGUGAGUAACCUGCCCUUGACUCUGGGAUAACUGCGGGAAACUGUAGCUAAUACCGGAUACGACCCUCGGCGGCAUCGCCAGGGGGUGGAAAGAAUUUCGGUCAAGGAUGGACUCGCGGCCUAUCAGCUAGUUGGUGAGGUAACGGCUCACCAAGGCGACGACGGGUAGCCGGCCUGAGAGGGUGACCGGCCACACUGGGACUGAGACACGGCCCAGACUCCUACGGGAGGCAGCAGUGGUGAAUAUUGCACAAUGGGCGCAAGCCUGAUGCAGCAGCGCCGCGUGAGGGAUGACGGCCUUCGGGUUGUAAACCUCUUUUAGUAGGGAAGAAGCGAAAGUGACGGUACCUGCAGAAAAAGCACCGGCUAACUACGUGCCAGCCGCCGCCGUAA
rnacentral:rRNA from 1 species